AUGUCCUUGUGACGCCUUCAUGCUCUCUCACACACACCUCCCUCCGACUCCUGAUCCUCUCUCCUCUUCUUCUCAUGCUCUCUCCCCUCUCUUCCUCUCUUCUUCCUACCUCCCUGCUGGCGAGACUAUUCUAGAUCCUAGAAUUUCAUUUUCACCUGUGACUAACACUUUGGACCCCAAGUUUUAAAUUCCUGGAGUUUGGACUCUACCUGUUCCACUUUAAUCAGAUGUCCCCCAAACUGGCUGCUGUGUGGCCAUGUCAGAAGGAGGUCAGUAUUCAGGAAGAAAAUGCAAUGAACCUCAGAAACCCAGGGGCCUAGAGAUGGCUCAGUGAUCAAGAACCCAGUGAGUAAAAAUUACCUAGCAUGGUACCUGGCAUAUAAACUACAAGCGUGGAAGAACCUCAAUUUACAAAGUGUCUCAAUUUAUGAAAUCCAGGUGAACAACAGCCCUGGCUAUCCUGGAAUUCAUCAUAUAGACCAGAUUGGCCUUGAACUCAGAGAUCUGCCUGCCACUGCGUCUGGGUACUGGGAUUAAAGAUGUGGACUAUGAUGCCUUGCUGAUGGUUAGAUUGAAUUGUCAGCCUGCACAGCCCAGAACUGUGCCAGGGAAGAGAGUCUCAGUGAGCUGCUGUCUUCAUCAUGCUCACCAGUGGGCAUGCAUGUGGGGACUGCUCUCAUGGUUGCUAACUGAUCCUGGAAACUCACCCCACUGUGGACGGGGCCGUUCCCUAAGCAGAGAAUCCUGGACUACAUGUGAGUGGAGAAAACUAGCUGACUUUAAGCAUGAAUAUGUCCAUUCUCUGCUCUCGACCACAGAUGUGAUCAGCCACCUCAAAGUUCCUGCUUUGACUCCCCCACAAUGAUAGACCGUAACCUGGAAUUUUAAGCCAAAUAAACCAUUUGCCCCUUACGGUUA